UGGCGGCCAUAGCGCGGUGGUCCCACCUGAUCCCAUGCCGAACUCAGAAGUGAAACGCCGUAGCGCCGAUGGUAGUGUGGGGUCUCCCCAUGUGAGAGUAGGGGACUGCCAAGCA
rnacentral:rRNA from 1 species